UUACUUACCUGGACGGGGUCUAUGGGCGAUCAAUAAGACCCAUGGCCUAAGUUGCCGACUUCCAUUGCACUUCGGAAGGGCGCCCGCUUAAGGUCGGCCAUAAUGGUCGAGCCUACGUCGUAAUUUGUGGCAGCGGGGGCCUGCGUUCGCGCGGCCCCUAC